GAUGAAGAACGUAGCGAAUUGCGAUAAGUAAUGUGAAUUGCAGAAUUCAGUGAAUCAUCGAAUCUUUGAACGCACAUUGCGCCCGCCAGUAUUCUGGCGGGCAUGCCUGUUCGAGCGUCAUUACAACCCUCAGGCCCCCGGGCCUGGCGUUGGGGAUCGGCGGAAGCCCCCUGCGGGCACAACGCCGUCCCCCAAAUACAGUGGCGGUCCCGCCGCAGCUUCCAUUGCGUAGUAGCUAACACCUCGCAACUGGAGAGCGGCGCGGCCACGCCGUAAAACACCCAACUUCUGAAUGUUGACCUCGAAUCAGGUAGGAAUACCCGCUGAACUUAAGCAUAUCAAUAAGCGGAGGA
rnacentral:misc_RNA from 1 species